UGGGGCAUAGUACAAUGGCAGUGCGACGGACUCUGGAUCCGUAAAUCUAGGUUCGAAUCCUAGUGCCCCAG
rnacentral:tRNA from 1 species